GGUUAUUGAGGUAGAAAAGGUUCUCUACACGCUACGAGAGUAGUCAACAGAAAUGAAGGGUUUGCCGUCCUUCCUCUAGUC
ncrna:unclassified sequences skipping-rope RNA